rnacentral:rRNA from 1 species
UACGUAGGGGGCAAGCGUUGUCCGGAAUUAUUGGGCGUAAAGAGCGUGUAGGCGGUCCGGUAAGUCAGCUGUGAAAGUCAAGGGCUCAACCCUUGAAAGCCGGUUGAUACUGUCGGGCUAGAGUCCGGAAGAGGCGAGUGGAAUUCCCGGUGUAGCGGUGAAAUGCGCAGAUAUCGGGAGGAACACCCGUGGCUAAGGCGGCUCUCUAGUACGGUACUGACGCUGAGACGCGAAAGCGUGGGGAGCAAACGGG